GCUAUAUCAUGUUAAAACACCGUUUCUCAUAUGAUCACUGAAUUUAAGCAACAUUGAGCCUGGUCAAUACCUAGAUGAGUGACCACUUGGGAAUAUCAUGUGCUGUAAG